GAUGAACGCUGGCGGCGUGCCUAAUACAUGCAAGUCGAGCGAACGGACGAGAAGCUUGCUUCUCUGAUGUUAGCGGCGGACGGGUGAGUAACACGUGGAUAACCUACCUAUAAGACUGGGAUAACUUCGGGAAACCGGAGCUAAUACCGGAUAAUAUUUUGAACCGCAUGGUUCACAAGUGAAAGACGGUCUUGCUGUCACUUAUAGAUGGAUCCGCGCUGCAUUAGCUAGUUGGUAGGGUAACGGCUUACCAAGGCGACGAUGCAUAGCCGACCUGAGAGGGUGAUCGGCCACACUGGAACUGAGACACGGUCCAGACUCCUACGGGAGGCAGCAGUAGGGAAUCUUCGACAAUGGGCGAAAGCCUGACGGAGCAACGCCGCGUGAGUGAUGAAGGUCUUCGGAUCGUAAAGCUCUGUUAUUAGGGAAGAACAUAUGUGUACGUAACUGUGCACAUCUUGACGGUACCUGAUCAGAAAGCCACGGCUAACUACGUG
rnacentral:rRNA from 1 species